rnacentral:rRNA from 1 species
UACAGAGGGGGCAAGCGUUGUUCGGAAUUACUGGGCGUAAAGGGCGCGUAGGCGGCCUUCUAAGUCGAACGUGAAAUCCCCGGGCUCAACCCGGGAACUGCGUCCGAUACUGAAAGGCUUGAAUCCGGGAGAGGGAUGCGGAAUUCCUGGUGUAGCGGUGAAAUGCGCAGAUAUCAGGAGGAACACCAAUGGCGAAGGCAGCUCGCUGGGACGGUACUGACGCUGAGACGCGAAAGCGUGGGGAGCAAACAGG